rnacentral:lncRNA from 1 species
AAACUUUUAUGCUACUUCUAAAACUUUUUGAUUAACUAUGCUAAGUUGUAUAGAUGCACAGUGAAAGUUAAACUUAGCAAGGGUUUGAUGUAUAGACUUCGACUUGAUUAAAUAUGCUUGCAACUAAAGGAUGUGCGGACAAGAAUUAAGCAAGCAAUUUAUCUAAGUAAGUAAGUGGGUUAGUUAGACAAUAACUAGAGGCAUUACAAACACACAGGACAUAUAGUGGUUCGGUGCACCCCAGCACCUACAUCCACUCCCCAAGACCUCUUGGGAAUUUCACUAUAAUCCUACCG